GAUGAACGCUGGCGGCGUGCCUAAUACAUGCAAGUCGAGCGAACGGACGAGAAGCUUGCUUCUCUGAUGUUAGCGGCGGACGGGUGAGUAACACGUGGAUAACCUACCUAUAAGACUGGGAUAACUUCGGGAAACCGGAGCUAAUACCGGAUAAUAUUCUGAACCGCAUGGUUCAAAAGUGAAAGACGGUCUUGCUGUCACUUAUAGAUGGAUCCGCGCUGCAUUAGCUAGUUGGUAAGGUAACGGCUUACCAAGGCAACGAUGCAUAGCCGACCUGAGAGGGUGAUCGGCCACACUGGAACUGAGACACGGUCCAGACUCCUACGGGAGGCAGCAGUAGGGAAUCUUCCGCAAUGGGCGAAAGCCUGACGGAGCAACGCCGCGUGAGUGAUGAAGGUCUUCGGAUCGUAAAACUCUGUUAUUAGGGAAGAACAUAUGUGUAAGUAACUGUGCACAUCUUGACGGUACCUAAUAAGAAAGCAACGGCUAACUACGUG
rnacentral:rRNA from 1 species